rnacentral:rRNA from 1 species
UGGGGAAUAUUGGACAAUGGGCGAAAGCCUGAUCCAGCCAUGCCGCGUGUGUGAAGAAGGUCUUCGGAUUGUAAAGCACUUUAAGUUGGGAGGAAGGGCAGUUACCUAAUACGUGAUUGCUUUGACGUUACCGACAGAAUAAGCACCGGCUAACUCUGUGCCAGCAGCCGCGGUAAUACAGAGGGUGCAAGCGUUAAUCGGAAUUACUGGGCGUAAAGCGCGCGUAGGUGGUUAGUUAAGUUGGAUGUGAAAUCCCCGGGCUCAACCUGGGAACUGCAUUCAAAACUGACUGACUAGAGUAUGGUAGAGGGUGGUGGAAUUUCCUGUGUAGCGGUGAAAUGCGUAGAUAUAGGAAGGAACACCAGUGGCGAAGGCGACCACCUGGACUGAUACUGACACUGAGGUGCGAAAGCGUGGGGAGCAAACAGGAUUAGAUACCCCUGUAGUCCCUGAGCGGGCUGGCAAGGCGCAU